AAAACAAACAUGGUUUUACAGAAUGUUUUGCACUUUCCAUUUGAAAAGAGCUCUGAUUUCUUAAAAAUGAAAAUUUAUUUGGUCUAAAUCAAAGUGAUUUUUUUCGUUUGAAAGUUUUUUUUUCAUGUUCCCAUUGUAAAACUAAAAGUUCUUCCAUUCAACCUUAAAAUAGUAGAACUGUCAAAUAACUCAAUGAUAAACCAAGCAAAAAGAAAACAAAAAGAAAGACAAAUGAAGAUAAGUUUCCGUUACGCAUCGGCACUAUAGCAUGGUAAAAAUAUAGAUGUGCAUUCUCAACCUAUCACCGUCGAGCUGUCAACGCCUCUCGCCUCACCAGUUCAAACGAUCACAACAGCGGAUACGACAGCAAAACUGUUGCUUUUCAAAAUUAUGCGGGAAAGUGUUUUCGGAUGUUCUUUAAAUUCAAUGCCUCGAAUUCGUGCAGUCCAAAUCAAUAUACAAAUAUCGGAGGACAUAGGAAAUGUAUGGCGCAAUGUUCCCAGACGGCUUCGAUUUCCAACCAAACCCCAGCCAGGGACCGGAUCUCGUUCUGGGGCAAUCACAGUGGCCACCGUGUUGAAAUGCUGCAACCUACAUCAUCUAGAAAAACUGCUUGAAAUCAUGAAAUAAAAAUAAAAGUAUCAUUGCGAUUAGAUUAUUUAAA